GAGGGUGUAGCUCAGUGGUAGAGUGUGUGCUUGGCAUGCAAGAGGGCCUGGGUUCUUGGCAUGCAUGAGGUUCUGGGUUCAUCCCUAGUGCCUCCA
rnacentral:tRNA from 1 species